AGCCUGAUCCAGCCAUGCCGCGUGAGUGAUGAAGGCCCUAGGGUUGUAAAGCUCUUUCAACGGUGAAGAUAAUGACGGUAACCGUAGAAGAAGCCCCGGCUAACUUCGUGCCAGCAGCCGCGGUAAUACGGAGGGUGCAAGCGUUAUCCGGAUUCACUGGGUUUAAAGGGUGCGUAGGCGGGUAUGUAAGUCCGUGGUGAAAUCUCCGAGCUUAACUCGGAAACUGCCGUGGGUACUGCGUAUCUUGAAUGUUGUGGAGGUGAGCGGAAUAUGUCAUGUAGCGGUGAAAUGCUUAGAUAUGACAUAGAACACCAAUUGCGAAGGCAGCUCACUACACAGAAAUUGACGCUGAGGCACGAAAGCGUGGGGAUCAAACAGGAUUAGAUACCCUGGUAGUCCAUGCCGUAAACGGUGGGCGCUAGGUGUGGGUUUCCUUCCACGGGAUCCGUGCCGUAGCUAACGCAUUAAGCGCCCCGCCUGGGGAGUACGGCCGCAAGGCUAAAACUCAAAGGAAUUGACGGGGGCCCGCACAAGCGGCGGAGCAUGCGGAUUAAUUCGAUGCAACGCGAAGAACCUUACCUGGGCUUGACAUACACCGGAUCGCUGCAGAGAUGUAGCUUCCCUUUGUGGCUGGUGUACAGGUGGUGCAUGGUUGUCGUCAGCUCGUGUCGUGAGAUGUUGGGUUAAGUCCCGCAACGAGCGCAACCCUUGUCUUAUGUUGCCAGCACGUUAUGGUGGGGACUCAGUGGAGACCGCCGGGGUCAACUCGGAGGAAGGUGGGGAUGACGUCAAAUCAUCAUGCCCCUUAUGUCUUGGGCUUCACGCAUGCUACAAUGGCCGGUACAAAGGGCUGCGAUGCCGUAAGGUGGAGCGAAUCCCAAAAAACCGGUCUCAGUUCGGAUUGGGGUCUGCAACUCGACCCCAUGAAGUCGGAGUCGCUAGUAAUCGCAGAUCAGCAACGCUGCGGUGAAUACGUUCCCGGGCCUUGUACACACCGCCCGUCACACCAUGGGAGUUGGUUUUACCCGAAGGCGCUGCGCCAACCCGCAAGGGAAGCAGGCGACCACGGUAGGGUCAGCGACUGGGGUGAAGUCGUAACAAGGUAGCCGUAGGGGAACCUGCGGCUG
rnacentral:rRNA from 1 species